CUACGUGCCAGCAGCUGCGGUAAUACGUAGGGCGCGAGCGUUGUCCGGAAUUAUUGGGCGUAAAGGGCUUGUAGGCGGUUGGUCGCGUCUGCCGUGAAAUCCUCUGGCUUAACUGGGGGCGUGCGGUGGGUACGGGCUGACUUGAGUGCGGUAGGGGAGACUGGAACUCCUGGUGUAGCGGUGGAAUGCGCAGAUAUCAGGAAGAACACCGGUGGCGAAGGCGGGUCUCUGGGCCGUUACUGACGCUGAGGAGCGAAAGCGUGGGGAGCGAACAGGAUUAGAUACCCUGGUAGUCCACGCUGUAAACGUUGGGCACUAGGUGUGGGGGCCACCCGUGGUUUCUGCGCCGUAGCUAACGCUUUAAGUGCCCCGCCUGGGGAGUACGGCCGCAAGGCUAAAACUCAAAGGAAUUGACGGGGGCCCGCACAAGCGGCGGAGCAUGCGGAUUAAUUCGAUGCAACGCGAAGAACCUUACCAAGGCUUGACAUGC
rnacentral:rRNA from 1 species